CUGCAAUGCGGUCGCAAAAACUAGAUUUACCUACUAGAAUAACCACCAUGGCUGCACCCUGCACUGAAAACAAUCACAAAGGCACACUGGAAUUUGCUCUGGACGUCCCGUUCCCAUCAACUCGCGAAGCGUCCAUCGCGCUCCAGUCCCUCUCCCCAAACCGCGAGCCCCGGAAAGGAGGGAUCAGCAAGGAGUUCACUGUUUCCGGUAGCACGCUGUCUGUGAGGUGGAGGGCAGAUGAGGCCCGUAUCCUGCGUGUCUCUGUAGGGUCGUUUAUGGACCACCUCUCCCUGGUGAUGGAAACCAUGGAGUUGUUCGGACCACCUGUCCCUCAGUGACCACUCACUCAGCAGUCUCUGUUCUACAAUGACCUGCAGAGAACCAAGAGGAGCAGUGUUAUGCUGAACAGAGGGGUCUCUCUGGCCGACAGACCCAGCAGAAGCAUGCUGUGCACCUCGGUACAGAGCGUCCCACUUUCAAUCCUCUGCUAUUCAAAUUGAAGGAACUGGAUUGUCUUACACCAAUGCAACAUUUCUGUAGUUGUUGCAUUAGAAUGUGAUUUAGAGCAGUGGGCCUGCAGGUCUAAGACUAAAAAAAAAGACAACUGACACAUUUCCAUAAAGUAGACAUUUAUGUUUUACAGUGAAGAGAUAUGCAACAAAAGAUGACAGUUGAAGUAGGAGCUGUGUGAAAAUGUUCACGUAGAUAGAUGACUAAGGAUUUUUGCUCAUUGGUUGUUGGCAUGAAUGAGACAAAUCAUUUAUGUUACUAGAACACACAGCAACGCUAGUGGAUGGUGUAGAAUAGGAAGGCAGAUUAAAGACAGUGGAAUGGAAGAAACUAGGAGAGGUGAUCAGUAGGACCAAAGAAGGGCACGGUACACUGUUAGGGCAGAGGACAUGGGUCCAGUCCCAAACCCUCCCCUCUUUCCCUAGAAACUUCUAGAUAGCCUCCUGGUAGACCUGAGAAGUAGUGUAAGCAAUAUGACCAACUACUAUUUCACUAGAACCACACUGCUUACACAAAUCAGAUAAUUUUUAAUCUAUUAGGAGCCUUGAGGGGGCUAGGGUUUAAACUUUAGACAGGCCCAUAGUGACUGCUCAUCUCAUGUCCUCAUUCCAUAAAAUGUAUGACCAGCCUCUACAGGGAUAUAGUUGUGUAGUAUGAAUAACAAAAUAAGAAAUGUACUGAACUAACCAGUAUAAAAGAACAGAACCGAUGUUGCUGUUGGGUCGAGAGAAUGUCAGUGCACACCGUCGUAUUCUGAUUGCACACAUUUACCUUCACUGUAUCUGGUUAGCUUAUCACCCUCUACACAACAGCUUAAAACAGAAACUUAUGAAAUACAACUGAUUCAAAUAGAAACAUGUCAAAGGGUCUAGGGGUUGACAGUUUGGCAACAUAAGGACUGCUGAAAGGCAGAAAAACACCACAUAUACUGUAUAUAUAGAUUGAUAUGACAGAUCUGCCGCAGUAAUACUUGUCAUGAGAUGAAAGGCACAGAGAGAGAAGAGUAAGUAAGAGUUGCUCCUAACCAAUCCCUCUAAUGGUUAAGGUUAGGCCAAGAGUAAUCUGAUCCUAGAUCAGUAGUUAAUGACAACUUCUACUUUGAUCACAAACAAACAGACAAAUAGUCUACCUCAGUAUAAAAGUAAGGAUGAAACAAUUAAAACGACAAGAACUAAAAGACAUGACAACAUUAUUAGAAAUGAUUAUAAUAGGAGCAUCAUGAUUGUAUUUUCCAUAGUAUCACCGGUUCUUCUAUCUUAUUAAAAAGUGAUGCUGUGCAAA